rnacentral:rRNA from 1 species
GGAUUAGAUACCCUGGUAGUCCACGCCGUAAACGAUGAGUGCUAGUUGUCGGGGGGUUGCCCCUCGGUGACGCAGCUAACGCGUUAAGCACUCCGCCUGGGGAGUACGGCCGCAAGGCUAAAACUCAAAGAAAUUGACGGGGGCCCGCACAAGCGGUGGAGCAUGUGGUUUAAUUCGAAGCAACGCGCAGAACCUUACCGGCCCUUGACAUGGGAAGUUUGAUUACCAGAGAUGGUUUUCUUCAGUUCGGCUGGCUUCCACACAGGUGCUGCAUGGCUGUCGUCAGCUCGUGCUG